AUUGAAACACCAGUUCCCAUAUGAUCACCGAAGUUAAGCAACAUCAACCUGGUCAGUACCUAGAUGGGUGACUGCUUGGGAAUACCAGGUGCUGUAAG